rnacentral:rRNA from 1 species
GAUGAACGCUGGCGGCGUGCUUAACACAUGCAAGUCGAACGGUGAAGCAGGAGCUUGCUCUUGUGGAUCAGUGGCGAACGGGUGAGUAACACGUGAGCAACCUGCCCCUGACUCUGGGAUAAGCGCUGGAAACGGCGUCUAAUACUGGAUAUGUGAUGUGACCGCAUGGUCUGCAUCUGGAAAGAAUUUCGGUUGGGGAUGGGCUCGCGGCCUAUCAGCUUGUUGGUGAGGUAAUGGCUCACCAAGGCGUCGACGGGUAGCCGGCCUGGGAGGGUGACCGGCCACACUGGGACUGAGCCACGGCCCAGACUCCUACGGGAGGCAGCAGUGGGGAAGAUUGCACAAUGGGCGGAAGCCUGAUGCAGCAACGCCGCGUGAGGGAUGACGGCCUUCGGGUUGUAAACCUCUUUUAGCAGGGAAGAAGCGAAAGUGACGGUACCUGCAGAAAAAGCACCGGCUAACUACGUGCCAGCCGCCGCGGUAA